CCUACGGGUGGCAGCAGUGAGGAAUAUUGGUCAAUGGGCGCGAGCCUAAACCAGCCAAGUAGCGUGAAGGAUGACUGCCCUACGGGUUGUAAACUUCUUUUAUAAAGGAAUAAAAUGAGGCACGUGUGCCUUUUUGUAUGUACUUUAUGAAUAAGGAUCGGCUAAAUCCGUGCCAGCAGCCGCGGUAAUACGGAGGGUCCGAGCGUUAUCCGGAUUUAUUGGGUUUAAAGGGAGCGUAGGUGGGUUGUUAAGUCAGCUGUGAAAGUUUGCGGCUCAACCGUAACAUUGCAGUGGAUACUGGCAGGCUUGAGUACAGUUGAGGUAGGCGGAAUUCGUGGUGUAGCGGUGAAAUGCUUAGAUAUCACGAAGAACUCCGAUUGCGAAGGCAGCUUACUAAACUGCCACUGACAUUGAUGCUCGAAAGUGUGGGUAUCAAACAGGAUUAGAUACCCGAGUAGUC
rnacentral:rRNA from 1 species